UGUACCCAAUCAAAAAAGAGAUAGAGGGGCGGAAGAUGGCGGCGUGAGUAGAGCAGCGGAAAUCUCCUCCCAAAACCACAUAUAUCUAUGAAAAUAUAACAAAGACAACCCUUCCUAGAAUAAAGACCAGAGGACACAGGACAAUAUCCAGACCACAUCCGCACCUGAGAGAACCCAGCGCCUCGCGAAGGGGAGCUGGCUGACAGAGCAUCGUGAUAAAGCAGCAGAUUUUGAAUGUUUGAGUGUGAUUAGACUGCAGCUGUUCACUGCGAAAGCUGGUAAAAGCUCACUCAGGGAGGAGGAGAAGAAAUCCCUGGUUUCCCCUCCAGAACUAGAGAGCUCGUUGGUGAUGACAUACACAUCCAUCCUCGACAGUCUGUCAACGACACUUAAGGCAGACGAGCAAGACAGUUUCACAGCACAGAUUCCUGCCCCGCAUCGUUUGUGGCAGGUUCAAAUCCCAGCUCUGCCCCACUGAUCCGCAGCCCCCUCAGGUCUCAGCUUUGCAAACGUGAGCUUUCUCAUCUAUCAAAGGCAACGUAUCUAGUUUAAGGCUGUGGUGACGAUUAGUGGGGUCAGUCCACCUGUGGAUCCUGGCCCACAGCAUUUUGAGGAUAAUACCUCUAAUCAUUUUUCUAUCUAAUCUCAGCAUAGGAACAGAUCUGUGUAUGCAAAUUACACUUUCCAAAGUGGUGGGAAGGAGUAUAUUAGGGCGUAUAAAUUUCUCUGAAACAUCAUUGUAAAGGAGUCUAGGUGGGGAAAUGACUUUUCUUGUUUGCCCUGCAUAUGACGUCAGGUUUUUAAAAUAUCACUCCGGUCGAGGCGUCUGGCAACCAUGGAUUACCCAACAACCGUUACUAUGGCUGCGAGGAGGCGGCGGCGAGAACCUCCCAGCAGUGUUUACUGAAGAUGAGGGAGUCAUAGCUCCUGCAGUUAACUGACGACAGCGCUUAUGUCCUUGAGUCUGUGAGACAGAAAUCACUGCAAAAUGCGAGAGAAACACAGCCGUGCCCUUCCCAAGGAAAUCACAGGAUGUAUCUCAGCACCUGGGGAACAGCCACCACGACUCCAGCCAUAUUCCCCCACACAGAGAAAUAUGGCACAAAGGUCUCCUUUCCUCAACACUGUAGGCCAUGUUCUGUCUUAGGUGUUCUCGGCCUUGUAGAGACCCUUUUUCUCAUGAAGUGAAGAGGGAUGAUUCCUACCAGCCCAGAUUUCUGGUUUAAUUGCAAGAAUUGUGGAAAUGGGGGGAAGAAUUCAUGAAGUUGCCGAGGCCCCCCCCCCGACCUGUUCAGGGUGGUUUUCAAUGAGAGUUGAUUCUGAUCUGUAAAAAGGGGGUAUGGAUAGUUAUUAAGGGAGAAUGACCUUCAGUUGGGCAGGUUUGCCUUUGAAUUCUGUCUCUACCCCUUAGAGAUUGUGUGACAUCUGCUAGUUAUUUAAUGCAUCUGAUCCUCAAGAUUUCUCAACAAACUGAAUAUAACACUUAUAUUGAAUAUCGUGUUAUGUUACAGGAUAGUGUGAGGGUUAGAAAUGGCAUAGUGAGCACAAUGUGAAAUACUGUUGCCUUUGGUGGUAGGCAGUGAAGACCUUCCCUAAGAUAUCCACAUCCUAACUUCUGGAACCUCUGAAUGUUACGUUGUAUGACCAAAGGGACUUUGCUGGUAGGAUUAUGUCAAGCAUCUUAUAAUGUGGAGGUUAUCCAGGCUUACCCAGGAGGGCCUGGUGUAAUCACAAGGACCCUUACACGAGAGAGGCAGGAGAUCAGAACGAGCAGGAGAGGAAGGUGAUGUCAUGCCCACAGAAGCAGAGGCUGAAGUGGUGCGGCCACAAGCCAAAGAAUGCAAACAGCCUCUCGAAGCAGGAAGAGGCAAGGAAUAAAUUCUGCCCUGAAGGGUCCAGAAGGAAGCAAUUCUGCCAACCCUUUGAUUUUAGUCCCACGAGACUUAUCUCUGAUGCUCUGACCUCCAGAACUGUAAGAUAAUAAAUCUGUGUUGUUUUAAGCCACUGCGGUAAUUUGUUACAGAAACUGCAAUAGGAAACCAAUAUAACUUUCUGCAAAUGGCAUUUUCAUUAUCAAGCACAAUAACAUUCAUUCGAAAUGGGGAGACAUUUUUGGAAAUUGCGAUGUGCCGUGUGAGGGUUAUUAUCAAUGUUCUUAUUCUGUUUUGCUU